rnacentral:rRNA from 1 species
AUUGAACGCUGGCGGCAGACCUAACACAUGCAAGUCGAGCGGAUGACGGGAGCUUGCUCCUUGAUUCAGCGGCGGACGGGUGAGUAAUGCCUAGGAAUCUGCCUGGUAGUGGGGGACAACGUUUCGAAAGGAACGCUAAUACCGCAUACGUCCUACGGGAGAAAGCAGGGGACCUUCGGGCCUUGCGCUAUCAGAUGAGACUAGGUCGGAUUUGCUAGUAGGUGAGGUAAUGGCUCCCCUAGGCGACGAUCCGUAACGGGUCUGAGAGGAUGAUCAGUCACACUGGAACUGAGACACGGUCCAGACUCCUACGGGAGGCAGCAGUGGGGAAUAUUGGACAAUGGGCGAAAGCCUGAUCCAGCCAUGCCGCGUGUGUGAAGAAGGUCUUCGGAUUGUAAAGCACUUUAAGUUGGGAGGAAGGGCAGUAAGCUAAUACCUUGCUGUUUUGGCGUUACCGACAGAAUAAGCACCGGCUAACUCUGUGCCAGCCGCCGCGGUAACAC